CCUUGACAUACUAAGAACUUUCCAGAGAUGGAUUGGUGCCUUUCGGGAACUUAGAUACAGGUGCUGCAUGGCUGUCGUCAGCUCGUGUCGUGAGAUUGUUGGGUUAAGUCCCGNAACGAGCGCAACCCUUUUUCCUUAUUUGCCAGCGGGUCAUGCCGGGAACUUUAAGGAUACUGCCAGUGACAAACUGGAGGAAGGCGGGGACGACGUCAAGUCAUCAUGGCCCUUACGGCCAGGGCUACACACGUGCUACAAUGGUCGGUACAAAGGGUUGCUACCUCGCGAGAGGAUGCUAAUCUCAAAAAGCCGAUCGUAGUCCGGAUCGCAGUCUGCAACUCGACUGCGUGAAGUCGGAAUCGCUAGUAAUCGCGGAUCAGAAUGCCGCGGUGAAUACGUUCCCGGGCCUUGUACACACCGCCCGUCACACCAUGGGAGUUUGUUGCACCAGAAGUAGGUAGUCUAACCGCAAGGAGGACGCUUACCACGGUGUGGCCGAUGACUGGGGUGAAGUCGUAACAAGGUAGGCGUAGAUGA
rnacentral:rRNA from 1 species